rnacentral:tRNA from 1 species
AGGAUUAUAGUUUAAUUACUUAAAACAUUUGAUUUGCAAUCAAAAAAUAUUGAAAAUCAAUUUAUCUUA